rfam:Kwoniella heveanensis BCC8398 unplaced genomic scaffold supercont1.14, whole genome shotgun sequence.
GCCCGUGUGGCGAAAUUGGUCAUCGCACCCGACUUUUACGUAAACACGUUCAAGGCCCAAUCGGGCGGUUGCGGGUUCGAGCCCCGCCAUGGGCU